rnacentral:misc_RNA from 1 species
UGUCCGUAGGUGAACCUGCGGAAGGAUCAUUACUGAGUGAGGGCCCCUCGGGGUCCAACCUCCCACCCGUGUUUAACGAACCUUGUUGCUUCGGCGGGCCCGCCUCACGGCCGCCGGGGGGGCAUCUGCCCCCGGGCCCGCGCCCGCCGAAGCCACCUGUGAACGCUGUCUGAAGUAUGCAGUCUGAGACAAUUAUUAAAUUAAUUAAAACUUUCAACAACGGAUCUCUUGGUUCCG